rnacentral:rRNA from 1 species
GAGUUUGAUCUUGGCUCAGGAUGAACGCCGGCGGUGUGCCUAAUACAUGCAAGUCGUACGCACUGGCCCAACUGAUUGAUGGUGCUUGCACCUGAUCGACGAUGGAUCACCAGUGAGUGGCGGACGGGUGAGUAACACGUAGGUAACCUGCCCUGUACAGGGGGAUAACAAUCAGAAAUGACUGCUAAUACCGCAUAAGACCACAGCACCGCAUGGUGCAGGGGUAAAAACUCCGGUGGUACAGGAUGGACCCGCGUCUGAUUAGCUGGUUGGUGAGGUAACGGCUCACCAAGGCGACGAUCAGUAGCCGGCUUGAGAGAGUGAACGGCCACAUUGGGACUGAGACACGGCCCAAACUCCUACGGGAGGCAGCAGUGGGGAAUAUUGCACAAUGGGGGAAACCCUGAUGCAGCAACGCCGCGUGAGUGAAGAAGUAUUUCGGUAUGUAAAGCUCUAUCAGCAGGGAAGAAAGUGACGGUACCUGACUAAGAAGCCCGG